rnacentral:rRNA from 1 species
UAGGGAAUCUUCCACAAUGGACGAAAGUCUGAUGGAGCAACGCCGCGUGAGUGAAGAAGGGUUUCGGCUCGUAAAGCUCUGUUGGUAGUGAAGAAAGAUAGAGGUAGUAACUGGCCUUUAUUUGACGGUAAUUACUUAGAAAGUCACGGCUAACUACGUGCCAGCAGCCGCGGUAAUACGUAGGUGGCAAGCGUUGUCCGGAUUUAUUGGGCGUAAAGCGAGUGCAGGCGGUUCAAUAAGUCUGAUGUGAAAGCCUUCGGCUCAACCGGAGAAUUGCAUCAGAAACUGUUGAACUUGAGUGCAGAAGAGGAGAGUGGAACUCCAUGUGUAGCGGUGGAAUGCGUAGAUAUAUGGAAGAACACCAGUGGCGAAGGCGGCUCUCUGGUCUGCAACUGACGCUGAGGCUCGAAAGCAUGGGUAGCGAACAGGAUU